AUCCUCAUGUAGGAUGCCCAACAUCUGGACGCACACAGCAUGACUACUAGUGCUGAGCAGCCACCCACAGAGGGCAUAUGCACAAAGACAUUAAAUGUAAAAGAAAUGGCCUGUGCUGAGCAACAGAGAAAGCUGUAUCAGAGAUAAAACCAAACAGAUGAAUUACCUCACAGGAUUGCUGGUCAAAGACACUCGGAGAGACUCCAGGCACGUGACAAGUCUCUCAUCUGCAGACCCCAUUUUCAGCUCAUGAAUGAAUUCCUGAGAUUCACCAUCCAAUGGCAGGAAAUGAAUUGUGUAAGUUCAAAAGAAGAUCAGGUGAAGUGGUACGAAAUUAGGUGUUUUUCAUGUUUUUUGUUUUUAUUAAUUUACUAUAAUGUUAUUCAAAACAACAUUCCCAAUAAAGCAAAACAAAUUAGCACUGUAAA
rnacentral:antisense_RNA from 1 species